rnacentral:rRNA from 1 species
CCUACGGGUGGCAGCAGUGAGGAAUAUUGGUCAAUGGACGAGAGUCUGAACCAGCCAAGUAGCGUGAAGGAUGACUGCCCUAUGGGUUGUAAACUUCUUUUAUAAAGGAAUAAAACGAGGCACGUGUGCCUUUUUGCAUGUACUUUAUGAAUAAGGAUCGGCUAACUCCGUGCCAGCAGCCGCGGUAAUACGUAGGGGGCAAGCGUUAUCCGGAUUUACUGGGUGUAAAGGGAGCGUAGACGGUUAAUCAAGUCAGAAGUGAAAACCCAGGGCUCAACCUUGGGACUGCUUUUGAAACUGAGUAGCUAGAGUGCAGGAGAGGUAAGCGGAAUUCCUAGUGUAGCGGUGAAAUGCGUAGAUAUUAGGAGGAACACCAGUGGCGAAGGCGGCUUACUGGACUGUAACUGACGUUGAGGCUCGAAAGCGUGGGGAGCAAACAGGAUUAGAUACCCGGGUAGUC